GAGAGAGAGAGAGAGAGAGAGAGAGAGAGAGAGAGAGAUGACGCAACACACGACGGAGCAAAUGGAAACACACACACACACACACAAAAAAAAAAAAGUAAACGAGAGGACGAAAAUUAGGAUGAAUUAAGCCUAACAAUAUAUCUUACCACACACACACACACACACACACACACACACACACACACACACACACACACACACAAAAGGUAUAUAUACGGUGCUUGCAUACGAGUCUUUGCAUAAUCUUUCUAUCUGUCUGCCUGUCUGUAUGUCUAUCUGUGCUCCUCCUUGUUUGUCUGUCUAUCUAUCUGUCUGUUUGUCUAUCUUCUUAUACUGACAAUGUUAAUUCCCCUGGUGACAGCAGCAGUGUGGGGGGUGCUGGGCGCGGGCGUAUCAGCUGUUCACCACCGACCCCAACUGGAUCCAGAGGCACCAAAGCCCUACGAGUUCGGUUACGAGGUCAUCAACGGGGAAACAGCCAGCGACUUCGGCCACGAGGAGAAGAGCCACGCGGGGACGGUCACGGGGCGGUAUCACGUAGCCUUGCCCGACGGUCGCCUGCAGGUGGUGACGUACGAGGCAGGCCCUACAGGUUACAAUGCACAGGUGGAGUACUCGGGACAGGCUGCCCACCCUCCACCGCCGCCUCCACCUCCGUUUCCACAUCACCACCUCCACCUUGACUUCCACGAGCCUGUCCUUGGGUUCCCGCCUCCGCCUCCUUACCCCCAACCUCACCCGUACAAUUUAGGGUUUUAGAGAGUUUUAUGGAGUCUGAAACGACUUGAAACGAAUCCCAAAUCUUCUGUAUCAAAAUAAAGCCUCAAUUUUGUUUAUUAUUUAGUCUUAUGGAACCUGAAUUGACUUAAAAACGAAUCCCAAAUCUUCUGUAUCAAAAUAAAGCCUCAAUUCUGUUUAUUAGUUAGUCUUAUGUAACCUGAAUUGACUUAAAAACGAAUCCCAAAUCUUCUGUAUCAAAAUAAAGCCUCAAUUCUGUUUAUCAUUUAGUCUU